rnacentral:rRNA from 1 species
GACGGGGGGUCCUAGCGUUGUUCGGAAUCAUUGGGCGUAAAGCGUGUGCAGGCGGUUAGGAAAGUUGGAUGUGAAAGCCCCGGGCUUAACCCGGGAAGGGCAUUCAAAACUCCCUAACUUGAGUAUGGAAGAGGUUCGUGGAAUUCCUGGUGUAGUGGUGAAAUACGUAGAUAUCAGGAGGAACACCGGCGGCGAAGGCGGCGAACUGGUCCUAUACUGACACUCAUACACGAAAGCGUGGGUAGCAAACAGG